UUGGGCUGUUUAUUUGUAUAAAAUGAGUGGUACAUCACAGAAACCGGCGUGUAAGGGGUUAAUUAACUCAUUUUAUGUUUAUAAUUAUAACAGCCAUGGUGGCAGAGAAGUUAAAUAACAUAACAAAAAAAAUCUUAAAAGAUAAAACCAUUAAAAAAUUAUGACUUCAAUCAUCACAAGAACUCAAUGAGUCCUUACAGGGUGAAUGGAUGGCAUUUAAAACAUGGUAUAAGGGUUAACACAAGAUAUGUAACCAAAUGUGUUGGGACGUGCUGCAUCUCUAACAUCAGCAUUGACUCUGAAGCAUCUCCUGCUGCUGCUCUCACCGACACACUUGUGUUUGCUUACAUUUGUAUGAUGCUCGAUGAAGCUUCUCACACACACGCACACACAUACACACACACACACACACACAGGACUGCGUCUCUACAAGUUUUCUCUAGCGUGGAUUCUCAUGUGUAUCUUGAGGUUCCCUUUCUCACCAAACCCUUUACCACAGACGGAGCAGACGAAUGGUUUCUCUCCAGUGUGGAUUCUCAUGUGUUUGUUGAGGUUUCCUUUCUCAGCAAACCCUUUACCACAGACGGAGCAGACGAAUGGUUUCUCUCCAGUGUGGAUUCUCAUGUGUAUGUUGAGUUUUCCUUUCCUUACAAACCCUUUACCACAGACGCAACAGACAAAUGGUGUCUCUCCAGUGUGGAUUUUCAUGUGUUGCUUGAGGUUUCCCUUAUGUGUGAAACCUCUCCCACAGACGAAGCACAUGAACGAUUUCUCUCCAGUGUGGAUUCUCAUGUGUCGCUUGAGGGUUCCUUUCUUUGCAAACCCUUUACCACAGACGGAGCAGACGAAUGGUUUCUCUCCAGUGUGGACUCUCAUGUGAAUCUUGAGGUUUCCUUUCUGUGUAAACGCUGUACCACAGAGGGAGCAGUUGAAUGGUUUCUCUCCAGUGUGGAUUCUCAUGUGUUCCUUGAGGGUUCUUUUAAGUGUAAACCCUUUACCACAGAGGGAGCAGGGGAAUGUACUCUUUCCUGUGUUCUUGGUCUUGGAGCAGGAAGCUGGUU
rnacentral:lncRNA from 1 species